CCCAUAUCUCUCCACAGGCAACUAGGAAGACCUCCAGCGUAUGCAGAAGCAAGUAUCGUUCCCACCUUCCAGUGUCAGGGAGACCACAAGCAAAGUCCUACAACAGCAGCAAUGACCAAAUUAUCAUGAUGGGGAAAGCUGGGCUUGUUGCUCCUGUGUCUGUCAUGCAGCUUUCAAAGGCACAGUGUCCCUGCAAAAACAAAAGGUUGGCUAUCCUUUUCCUCUACGUUUACGACACUGUCAGAACUUACUCCAUAAAUGAUGCUGUUCAAUAAAAAAUAUGACUCAA